CCUACGGGUGGCAGCAGUGGGGAAUAUUGCGCAAUGGGCGCAACCCUGACGCAGCAACGCCGCGUGAAGGAAGAAGGCUUUCGGGUUGUAAACUUCUGUUCUUAGGGACGAAGCAAGUGACGGUACCUGAGGAAUAAGCCACGGCUAACUACGUAGCAGCCGCCGCGGUAAUACGUAGGUGGCAAGCGUUAUCCGGUUUUACUGGGUGUAAAGGGCGUGUGGGCGGGAAAGGAAAUCAGAUGUGAACACCAUGGGCUCAAACUGUGGCCUGGGUUUGAAACUGUUUUUCUUGAGUACUGGAGAGGCAGACGGAAUUCCUAGUGUAGCGGUGAAAUGCGUAGAUAUUAGGAGGAACACCAGUGGCGAAGGCGGUCUGCUGGACUGUAACUGACGCUGAGGCGCGAAAGCGUGGGGAGCAAACAGGAUUAGAUACCCUGGUAGUC
rnacentral:rRNA from 1 species